rnacentral:lncRNA from 1 species
ACGGGCUCUGUAUUCUAGGGGGGAUUUUAGACGCUUAAAUAAUUCUUUUAAAAGAUCUCUGCUGACAUCCACGGGUCCUAUAAUUAACAUCUAAGCUUUCACAAGCCGGAAGUGUUCCGUCACCCCUAAAAAUACAGAGCCCCAUCUUUGUCUUCCUCCCGUGGUUUGUUAGCAAUUUGUCCAGUCCCCUGUUUCCUCCAUCCCUCUCUCGCCUUUACACAUGUUCGCCCCAGAUGCGGACAUUCAAGCCCUGCGUUCCUUUUACUUUUCUAAGUUUUGAACUCUGCCCUCUAGAAAAAUCAAAAGAUUACAGUCACUGGACAUCUGAUUCAGCUUUUUUUUAAUGCUAAAAAAAGACUCUAGCUAUAGCAGAUUUCCACAGCUGUUGUCCUAACGCCUCUGUGAUCUCCAACUCUGCUCCAGGCGACCCAACGACCCCCUCCCCCACCCCCCAGCAAAUGUGUCUUUGACAGAGGAAGUAUUUGAAAACUGGAGUAAGAAUUGAUUGAAUGAAGGAGGAAGUUGUAGCCAGCUUGAUAGACUUCCCGGACUCGGCCUGGGGAGCCAGUUGGACCUAAAAGUGAUUGAUCCCUGGGCAAGUUAAUUAACCUCUGAGGCUCCCUGCUCUGAUUCUUAAAGGACCCCACCAUUCAAAACAUCUCACAAGGUCUUGUAAGUGAAGUCCAACGAAACAACGGAGCAUGCAUGUGAGCAGGGAAAGCCCACAAACACAUGAGCUCAGGUCCACAGGCACAGCAAGCACUCAGUGCUCAGCAUGCACACCAAGAAGUUGACCUGGCUCCCUGGUGCACCCAAGCAUACGUGGGGCAGUUCCGGGCCCUGAAUGCCCCAGGCAGUGGCCUGAGCUGGGAUGGCCUCAGCAACAGCAGCAGUGGAGGCAGCCACAGCUGUAGGAGAAAG